CCUACGGGGGGCAGCAGUAGGGAAUCUUCCACAAUGGACGAAAGUCUGAUGGAGCAAUGCCGCGUGAGUGAAGAAGGGUUUCGGCUCGUAAAACUCUGUUGUUAAAGAAGAACACCUUUGAGAGUAACUGUUCAAGGGUUGACGGUAUUUAACCAGAAAGCCACGGCUAACUACGUGCCAGCAGCCGCGGUAAUACGUAGGUGGCAAGCGUUGUCCGGAUUUAUUGGGCGUAAAGCGAGCGCAGGCGGUUUUUUAAGUCU
rnacentral:rRNA from 1 species